CGAUGUUAUAGAAAAUGAACCCUCAACGAGGAAUCAUAAUAAUUGCUGUGGCGAAUGCAGAGACUACAUCCGUAAGGAACUAAAAAGAUUGUUCAGACAAAUGUACGCUAUUGAAGCUCUAUUAAAAGACGGGAAUGCAGGACGAAGCGAUGAGGUUGUAGCACAAGAUCUGUUACCUCCAUUGUCUCUAAUGACACUUAAACAGUUUUUGCAAUGAGAAAAUCAGUUGGAAGUGAAUACCAACAUGAAAAAACAAUUUGAACACAUGAUAUGUCGAAUCGGAGGUUCGACGGGUAAGCAGUUUAU